rnacentral:misc_RNA from 1 species
UUUUUUUUUUUUUUUAUUUUUUUAUUUUUUUAUUUUUUUAGUUCAUAUUCACAAGUGUACCUUUAUCUGUAAAUCUACAAAAUCAUUGAAAUUGAUUAUCAAAAUCAAAAUCUAUUCAUUUCAAUUCUCUCCACCAAACACCAUGGUUGCUAUUUGUGGGCUUGAUUGUUCCUCUUUUCUAAAAUAAAGCAAUUUGAAAUUCUGCCUACUUUUAGAGCUGAAGAUAAGUUACAUAUCCCUUUAAAUUCAAUGUGUACUACACAAAGUUUAAUAUUUGUUCAAAUUGAUCACUUAAAAGCAAUUGAAGAUCUGUUGGUCCUUAACUGUACGUUGCUUAUAUGGUCAUUUGUCUAUUUCUAUACGUGGAUGCCAGGAUUUGACAUGUGGGGAACUGCUGCUAUCUUUAUUUCUAUCUUUCUUGAUGUUGGAGCGAUACUACUUCCAAACAUUUUCAGCAUUUUUGUCUUUUAUUUUUCCCCCAUCUUCUGAAAUUGGAUUUACUUGUUAUGUUUUAUGUUUAAAACUUUAAUAGCUUUUAAGACAUUGCUUUUGUGUAGUUUUCCAUACUCAACUUUCUAACAUAAAAUUGGAUUUUUUCAUCCGCCAUGAGUUCAGUUAAUCCUUUGGAUGUUUCCUCAUUGUAGGUAUGUGCUUGCGGAGAUAUGAGAAGGCUUGUGCUCUUGGACAGAAUGUUUUGCCUUUUGACUCAGGACGGCGGCAAAUAAAAAAUAAGUGGUAUUUAAUUAUUUUUUCUCCUCAUUUGACUAGUGCAAGUAUUACAUAAGACAAGUACCUUUUUUUCUUUAAAAAGCUUUGCUUUUUGUUUCCUCUUUUGCUGGGUGCUGGAGGUGGCUGAAGGGGGUUGGUUGUUCUUCUAAUUUCUCAACUAGUACCCUUGAAAGUUUUAAAUAAUAGGUUGGCUAUUAUUCAUGAAAGGUAAUCCUAUUGUGCAAAAGUAAUUUUCUGAUUAAGUUCUGAUCUCCCCAAAUUAAUUAUUUAGGACAUCAAUGGCCUUGAUGGUCUACCGUGAAACAAUUGCAGCUGGUGAGAAACCUACAAUGGAUGUUGUUUCACAAAUUUUGGGAUGCCUGAAGCUCCCUAGUGAUGCUUCACUGAAAACCAGAUUAGUUGAAAAUCUUGGAGUUACUGCUGACUCAUCAAAAUAUUCUAACCUCUGCUCAUUGCUGGAUGGAUUUGGAGAAUAUGAUCCUUGUGCUUUUUCAUUGCUUGAGGUCAGUAGGCAGUUGAAAUAUUUCUUCAAUUUUCUGAUUUCAUGCUUUGUUACGAAACUAUGGUUGGAAGUUAACCAGAUGCCAGCUAGGAUUGUUACCAUUUGCAGGAAGCUGCUUCUCUUGGAAUCAUUCCAUGUGUAUCCUGGAAAGCAAGUCCCAUUGUUAUUGAUGCCAAAACUUUGCAAAUUCAUGUUGCAGAGGUAAGUUUUCCGCAUGGUAUUUUAAUGCAACUUAGAUGACAGUUACUCUUGUUGAAAUUUCUACUUUUCAGCGUAUGUAUUAUUCCAUUGACCCUAUGCUUCCUAAGGGGUGCAUCUAUGAUGUUGCCCACUUCUAAAUUUGCUGAUAUUAUGACAGUGUAUUGCUUCAUGAUCUUUCUUCAGUGAUGCAUUAAAAAUGUUCCAAAGCUGUUGUAUGUUGACAAUUGAGCCUUACAUGAGCAGAACCUACUAUAACAAAUAUAUGUAUUUUUCGCUUAUUUAUAUAUAUUAUUGGCAUUUUUGUUCUUUUUUUUCAUCACCUUCUUCAUUUACAAUCUCCAGGAUUUACUAUGAGAACAACAGAAUACAUAUGGAUAGUAUAUGUUUGUACUGUCUCAAACAUAAAGCAAAAUAUGAGUUGAAACAACUCUUUCCUUUUCCCUUCUAGAAUUUGUGCUGUGAUCAUUUUGAUGACUUCCUGAGAAAUCUUGUCAGGUCUACCUCUUAAACAUUUUGAAAGGUCUCAAGCAUCGUCUUGCUGCUGGUAAGGGUUUAUUUUUUAAUAACUCAUUGAACUCUCUAAUAAGUUAAGUUCAGAAUUUCAACUUCUGAAUAUUAAAUUCAAUGAAUUUCUAUGAACCAUAGAAAAGAUAAAUGCACGUGCCUUAUUUCUGCAAAACUUUGAAAAUCUACUAUUGAGCUUCCUCUGCUUUAUAGGUAGUGGUUUACAUUGUUUCAUUUUCAAAUAGAUUUGGUUAUUUUUCCCCCUCCUGUAUGAUGUAGAAAGGCUAGGAAAAAGAAGAAUGAAGAAAUGAGGGGAGAGAAAAUCUUGAAAGAAAAUACCAAUAACCUCAAUGUCAAUUCAUCACUGAGACCCUCUUUACCAUUUAUCUAUGAAUAUUUAACUAAGAAUCAAGACAAUUUCGAAAUAUGAAUGAAAAAAAUGUAAUCAUGAAAGUAUCCAAGAGUUUAGCAAUGGUGCAUGUUCUUGUUCACUAUUCGAGAAGGAAAAAUGGGGGAUUAAGAUAGCUUGUACUUUGUUCUUGUACUUUGUUUAAUCCAUUUGAUUAAUAACUAACAUUUAGUUAUUCUUGACCCCAAUUUUUUUCAGGUGCAAAGUUGCCCAAUAUAACCAUUUUAUUGCCUAUAGAAAUGACAAAAGUCAAGAUUCUUGAAGGGGAAAAAAUGAUCAACCUUGCGGGAAGGCUUGGCCAGGAGGUUGCAUCUCUAUUGAGAAGGCUAGGGUUGCCUUACCAAGGGAAUGAAUCAUAUGGGAAGAUUAGAAUCAAUGGGAUUUCCAUAAGAAGAUGGUUUCAACCAAAGCUUUCUUCUCCUUUCAGCAGAAAACCGGGAGAGUUGAGCUCAUCCCAGUCGAGAAUAGGGAAAGGGAUCAUUCACCAGCAGCGUAAUAUUCGAACCGGCAAUUUAUCUUUGGAAUAAGAGGAAGCAUAUUUAUUGCUGCUGAUAGGGAAACAAAUUUAAAGGAAUGAGUUAUACAAGUUCUUCCCUAGCAUGAGAUGACAUAUCAGUUUUAUGGAUGACUUAGUCUCAUUAUUAUGCCACGGCAAAAUUGCUGCCCUGGUCUUGGAUGGCUUUUGGAAAAUUUCAAAGAGAAAUUGAGAUCACCUUCUGUCUGAAGAUGUGGGAUACCUCCAGAGCAAUGUAAAUGCAGUAAAUAUAGCCUAAGAUUUUACCAUUUUCCGGCUGAAAUAAAAGAGUGUUGCAUUCUACGGUCACUCUUUGUGUCCAUUUUGAAGAGAGAAAAACAACACGUCCAUGCCUGCAAGCUGCAACGUGAAAGGUUCUCUGGAUCUUAUAGUUCUUGCACUUCUGGUGUUGACAUGGCUGGAUUGAUUGUUUCAGAAACAAAUUUAUCGUUACUGAUGACUGCUUCACUUGAUUCCAUCAAUGGAGUUUGAAUAGCAGAGCUUCAAAGAAAAUCUUUGAAUGAAAAAUUGAUGUAAGGGACAUGAUUCAUUAAAGAGAAACAUUAAAAAGGGAAAAAUUGAUUCAUCUACUCGUACGUGGGAAAAUGUACACAUGUAUACUUCACAAUCCUCCUAUACAUUGUCCUAGGAGGGAAAAAGAGAAGGGAUAAAAAAAGAGAUGAAUAUCUUGUCAAAAAUUGCAGAAAUGGGUUUGGUGAAUCUUCUUUUUGUCUCACAAGGCAAGAAACCUAGAAGUGAGAUCAAUAAAGGCAUCUUCUUUGCAAGGAAUUGUAAGAGCGCCCAUUGGAUGAUUGAAGCCAAAUUCUUCUUCAGCUUGGUUAAGCAAGUCCCGGAAGCAAGGAUGGUUCAAAUAUGAUAUUGGAACAAUAAAUCUCCUCCUCUGGAAUUCUCCAACAUAAACUGCUACAUGCCCUUUAGGUACAUUAGACUCGUUUCUACCAUGGAAAGACUGCUUCUUGAGAAUUUGCAUGGCACUGGAGAUCAUGGAAGGCAAACGAAUACCCAUUUCAGAACCUGAGGAGAGAGAGACAAAGAACUAUAAUUUACAAGGAAAAAUGUAGAACUUGUAAACUUGGAGGAAGAGGGUAGCAGUGGAUGGGUAAUUAUAUAGGGUUUUGGGCAGCAGGAGGCUGAGUAGACUUGUCUUCGAUGGAUAGAAGGACCCACCCCAUCAUGACUCACAUGGCUCUGAACAGAUAUCUGAUAUAAAAUAAAAUAAAAAUAUAGAUGAUCCACCACGGCGACAUCGUGUGCUGAUGGUGUAGUAGACCAACUUGCGUUCCUUCGCAUUCUUUUCUUUGUCGAAGCAUACACGCAUCAAAACUGGAGCUGGCGUCACUAUGUGUAGACACUCGAGAUUCUAAAGUCUAAACAGACGGCCGUACGGUUUUGAC